rnacentral:rRNA from 1 species
AACGAACGCUGGCGGCAUGCCUAACACAUGCAGGUCGAACGAGAUCUUCGGGUCUAGUGGCGCACGGGUGCGUAACGCGUGGGAAUCUGCCCUAUGGUUCGUAAUAACAGUUGGAAACGACUGCUAAUACCGGAUGAUGACGAAAGUCCAAAGAUUUAUCGCCAGAGGAUGAGCCCGCGUAGGAUUCGCUAGUUGGUGUGGUAAAGGCGCACCAAGGCGACGAUCCUUAGCUGGUCUGAGAGGAUGAUCAGCCACAAGGGGACUGAGACACGGCCCAGACUCCUACGGGAGGCAGCAGUGGGGAAUAUUGGACAAUGGGCGAAAGCCUGAUCCAGCAAUGCCGCGUGAGUGAUGAAGGCCUUAGGGUUGUAAAGCUCUUUUACCCGGGAUGAUAAUGACAGUACCGGGAGAAUAAGCUCCGGCUAACUCCGUGCCAGCCGCCGCGGUAA